GUUAUUAUGAAGGUUAAUUUUAAUAAUUAUAAUAUAUUUGAUUAAUAUUAUGAGUGAGGGUUAGAGAGUUUUUAUAGGCUAAUAGUACUGUUGAGGAAUUUAUUUUAUUUAUUUAUAAAAUUAGGUUUUUUAGUACCUUUUGUAUUAGGGUUUAUUAAUGUGUGUGGGCUUGAGUUUUGUCUCGAUGAAUAUCGGGCUAUUUAGUUGGAUGUUAUUUUUGUUGAAUAAAAUUAAUUAUGGCUUAAUAGUUAUGAAAUAUUAUUCAAGUUAUUUUUUAUCUGGUUUUUUAAGAAUUAUAAUUUAAGAUAUUUUUGUUAUUAAGAUGUGUUGGGAUUAGCUAGCUUAUCGUUUAUAUAUUAUAGUAUUUAUUUUUGUUAGUGAAGUUAAAAGUUCUUAUUUAUAAGAUGUUAUUAUAUAGUAGGUUUAGUUUUUAUUAUUUUUUAAAAAUUAUGUUGAUAUUAGGGAUAUUAAUUUAAUUUAUAUUUGAUGUUAUAAUGAUAAAAUUAGUAAUAUUUGGUUUUAUAAUAUUAGUUUAUGAAAUUUUUUGAUGAUAAAAGAGCUGACUAUUAAUAUUGGAGAAUUAGGCAAAAUUAGCUUUUGACUGUUUAGCAAAAACAUUGUUUUUUGUUAAGAUGAAAAAUAAGGUCUGUCCACUGCUUAGGAGUGAAGGGCUGCAGUAUUUUGACUGUAUGAAGGUAGCAUAAUCAUUAGUUUUUUAAUUGGAAGCUGGUAUGAAGGUGAAACAGAGGCUUGCUAUUUUGAUAUUAAUUAAUGAAUUUUAUUUUUAUGUGAAAAAUCAUAAUUAUAUCUAAGGGACAAGAAGACCCUAGUAAGUUUUAUUUUUUGUUGUGAGGGGUAUGUAGUUUAUUUAAUUAAUAUUAUUUAUGAUUUUAAGGUUUGACUGGGGCGGUAUAUAAUUUAACAUUAUUUAAUUUUUAAUUUUUGAUAGCGUUAUUUAGACCUGAAUUGGUCAGUUGAAGGUAUAAUUACUGUAGGGAUAACAGCGUAAUUUUUUUUAAGAGUUCUUAUUGACGGGAAA
rnacentral:rRNA from 1 species